rnacentral:rRNA from 1 species
CGGAGGAGCUAGCGUUAUUCGGAAUUACUGGGCGUAAGCGCACGUAGGCGGCUUGUAAGUUAGAGGUGAAAGCCCGGAGCUCAACUCCGGAACUGCCUUUAAGACUGCAUCGCUUGAAUCCAGGAGAGGUGAGUGGAAUUCCGAGUGUAGAGGUGAAAUUCGUAGAUAUUCGGAAGAACACCAGUGGCGAAGGCGGCUCACUGGACUGGUAUUGACGCUGAGGUGCGAAAGCGUGGGAGCAAACAGGAUU